GCAUUUUUUAUAAGGGGUUACAUCAUCAUUUUUUGUCAAAAUUUGGUCAGUUUAAAAAUUUUUAUCUGUGAAUGCCAUUUUAUUAGAAAUUUUAUGACGAAUCCAACGAUGCAUGACAUUCUAACUUGGGACCAUUAUUUCCUAGAGUUUUGAUACAAAAACUGAUUUUUUACGGUGUUUUUUUGGGUUUUUGGAGAAAUAAGAAAAUAAAACAUUUCCAAAGAGUCUUUUUGAUGUAACUUGGCCAAAAUAAGACGCAUAGCCAUAACGGUGACUGUUUUGUACAGCUGGCAACCUGUAUUAUCCAUCCCCGAUCGACCAAGAAUAAUUCGAUUUGUUUUGGUUGAAAAAUUGAUUUUUAAAAGGUAUUGUUUUGAAAAAUUCAUUUCCUGCCCAAUUUCUGCAUUUUUUAUAAGGGGUUACAUCAUCAUUUUUUGUCAAAAUUUGGUCAGUUUAAAAAUUUUUAUCUGUGAAUGCCAUUUUAUUAGAAAUUUUAUGACGAAUCCAACGAUGCAUGACAUUCUAACUUGGGACCAUUAUUUCCUAGAGUUUUGAUACAAAAACUGAUUUUUUACGGUGUUUUUUUGGGUUUUUGGAGAAAUAAGAAAAUAAAACAUUUCCAAAGAGUCUUUUUGAUGUAACUUGGCCAAAAUAAGACGCAUAGCCAUAACAGUGACUGUUUUGUACAGCUGGCAACCUGUAUUAUCCAUCCCGAUCGACCAAGAAAAAUUCGAUUUGUUUUGGUUGAAAAAUCGAUUUUUAAAAGGCAUUGUUUUGAAAAAUUCAUUUCCUGCCCAAUUUCUGCAUUUUUUAUAAGGGGUUACAUCAUCAUUUUUUGUCAAAAUUUGGUCAGUUUAAAAAUUUUUAUCUGUGAAUGCCAUUUUAUUAGAAAUUUUAUGACGAAUCCAACGAUGCAUGACAUUCUAACUUGGGACCAUUAUUUCCUAGAGUUUUGAUACAAAAACUGAUUUUUUACGGUGUUUUUUUGGGUUUUUGGAGAAAUAAGAAAAUAAAACAUUUCCAAAGUGUCUUUUUGAUGUAACUUGGCCAAAAUAAGACGCAUAGCCAUAACAGUGACUGUUUUGUACAGCUGGCAACCUAUAUUAUCCAUCCCCGAUCGACCAAGAAAAAUUCGAUUUGUUUUGGUUGAAAAAUCGAUUUUUAAAAGGCAUUGUUUUGAAAAAUUCAUAUCCUGUCCAAUUUCUGCAUUUUUUAUAAGGGGUUACAUCAUAAUUUUUUGUCAAAAUUUGGUCAGUUUAAAAAUUUUUAUCUGUGAAUGCCAUUUUAUUAGAAAUUUUAUGACGAAUCCAACGAUGCAUGACAUUCUAACUUGGGACCAUUAUUUCCUAGAGUUUUGAUACAAAAACUGAUUUUUUACGGUGUUUUUUUGGGUUUUUGGAGAAAUAAGAAAAUAAAACAUUUCCAAAGAGUCUUUUUGAUGUAACUUGGCCAAAAUAAGACGCAUAGCCAUAACGGUGACUGUUUUGUACAGCUGGCAACCUAUAUUAUCCAUCCCCGAUCGACCAAGAAAAAUUCGAUUUGUUUUGGUUGAAAAAUCGAUUUUUAAAAGGCAUUGUUUUGAAAAAUUCAUAUCCUGUCCAAUUUCUGCAUUUUUUAUAAGGGGUUACAUCAUCAUUUUUUGUCAAAAUUUGGUCAGUUUAAAAAUUUUUAUCUGUGAAUGCCAUUUUAUUAGAAAUUUUAUGACGAAUCCAACGAUGCAUGACAUUCUAACUUGGGACCAUUAUUUCCUAGAGUUUUGAUACAAAAACUGAUUUUUUACGCUGUGACUGCCAUUUUGUUAGAAAUUUUAUGACGAAUCCAAAAAUGCAUGACAUUCUAACUUGGGACGAUUAUUUCAUAGAGUUUUGAUACAAAAACUGAUUUUUUACGGAGUUUUUUUUUGGGUUUUUGGAGAAAUAAGAAAAUAAAACAUUUCCA